GACGAACGCUGGCGGCGUGCUUAACACAUGCAAGUCGAACGGAAAGGCCCUGCUUGCAGGGUACUCGAGUGGCGAACGGGUGAGUAACACGUGGGUGAUCUGCCCUGCACUUCGGGAUAAGCCUGGGAAACUGGGUCUAAUACCGGAUAGGAGCCAUUUUUAGUGUGAUGGUUGGAAAGUUUUUUCGGUGUAGGAUGAGCUCGCGGCCUAUCAGCUUGUUGGUGGGGUAAUGGCCUACCAAGGCGGCGACGGGUAGCCGGCCUGAGAGGGUGGACGGCCACAUUGGGACUGAGAUACGGCCCAGACUCCUACGAGAGGCAGCAGUGGGGAAUAUUGCACAAUGGGCGCAAGCCUGAUGCAGCGACGCCGCGUGGGGGAUGACGGCCUUCGGGUUGUAAACUCCUUUCGCUAGGGACGAAGCUUUUUGUGACGGUACCUAGAUAAGAAGCACCGGCUAACUACGUG
rnacentral:rRNA from 1 species